rnacentral:rRNA from 1 species
UGGUUCAGACAUGCAAGUCGAGCGAUCUGUUAUCUGGAGUAAUCCGGGUAUCAGAGAGCGGCGUAAGGGAGAGUAAUGAGUAGAUAACGUACCCUCAGCUCGGGGAUAACCGCGGUGGCUUCGGUCACCUCGCGAAAGUGCGGAUAAUACCCGAUGAUCUUCAAGGGUUUUGUGCCCUUGUAGCAAAGGUGGGGCUCCUUCGGGACCUGCCGGCAGAGGAGCGGUCUACUUCCCAUCAGCUUGUUGGUGAGGUAAUGGCUCACCAAGGCGACGACGGGUAGCCGGCCUGAGAGGGUGUUCGGCCUCACUGGGACUGAGACACUGCCCAGAGCCCUACGGGGUGCUGCAGUUUCGAAUCGUUCGCAAUGCGCGAAAGCGUGACGACGCGACGCCGCGUGCGGGAGGAAGGCCUUCGGGUUGUAAACCGCUUUUAGGGGGUAUGAAGAGAUCGGGGUCAAUAGCCCCGUGAUCUGACGUCAACCCCAGUAUAAGCUCCGGCUAACUUCGUGCCAGCAGCCGCGGUAAGACGAAGGGAGCGAGCGUUGUUCGGUAUCACUGGGCUUAAAGAGCGCGUAGGCGGUCGGAUGGGUCGGUUGUGAAAUCCCUGGGCUCAACUCAGGAAUUGCUUCCGAAACUAUUCGACUUGAGGCAUUCUGGGGGCGACUGGAACUCUUGGUGGAGCGGUGAUAUGCGUAGAUAUCAAGAGGAACGCCAGUGGUGAAGACGGGUCGCUGGGAAUGUCCUGACGCUGAGGCGCGAAAGCUAGGGGAGCGAACGGGAUUAGAUACCCCGGUAGUCCUAGCCGUAAACGAUGUGCACUAGGCUGCGGUAGUUCUGACACUGUCGCGGCCGUAGCAAAAGUGUUAAGUGCACCGCCUGGGGAGUACGGUCGCAAGGCUAAAACUCAAAGGAAUUGACGGGGGCUCACACAAGCGGUGGAGGAUGUGGCUCAAUUCGAAACAACGCGAAGAACCUUAUCCUGGGUUUGACAUGCACGGAUGAAACCUGUGAAAGCAGGGGACUGCCCGCAAGGGUGAAACGUGCACAGGUGCUGCAUGGCUGUCGUCAGCUCGUGCUGCGAAGUGUCGGGUUAAGUCCCUUAACGAGCGAAACCCUUGUCGUUAGUUACCAGCGGGUCAUGCCGGGAACUCUAACGAGACUGCCGGUGUUAAACCGGAGGAAGGUGGGGAUGACGUCAAGUCCUCAUGGCCUUUAUGCCCAGGGCUGCACACGUCCUACAAUGGGAUGGACAAAGGGUUGCGAAACCGCGAGGUCAAGCUAAUCCCAAAAACCAUCUCCCAGUCCGGAUUGCAGGCUGCAACUCGCCUGCAUGAAGUCGGAAUCGCUAGUAAUCGCGGAUCAGCAUGCCGCGGUGAAUAUGUUCCUGAGCCUUGUACACACCGCCCGUCAAGCCAUGGGAGCUGGUAGUACCCGAAGUCGCUGACCCAACCCCUCGGGGAGGGAGGUGCCGACGGUAAGACCGGUGACUGGGGCUAAGUCGUAACAAGGUA